rnacentral:rRNA from 1 species
UACGAAGGGGGCUAGCGUUGCUCGGAAUGACUGGGCGUAAAGGGCGCGUAGGCGGCUUGCACAGUCAGGCGUGAAAUUCCUGGGCUCAACCUGGGGACUGCGCUUGAGACGUGUGGGCUUGAGUGGGGAAGAGGGUCGCGGAAUUCCCGGUGUAGAGGUGAAAUUCGUAGAUAUCGGGAGGAACACCAGUGGCGAAGGCGGCGACCUGGGCCAAUAGUGACGCUGAGGUGCGAAAGCGUGGGGAGCAAGCAGG